CCAAUAGCGUAUAUUAAAGUUGUUGCAGUUAAAAAGCUCGUAGUUGAAUUUCGGGAUUGGCGUGUCGGUCGUGCCUUACGGGGUAUGAACUGGCGUCGUCGAUUUCUCACCUUCUGGAGAAUCACGAUGCCCUUAAUUGGGUGUCGUGUGGAACCAGGACCUUUACUUUGAAAAAAUUAGAGUGUUUAAAGCAGGCAUUUUUGCUCGAAUACAUUAGCAUGGAAUAAUAAAAUAGGACGGUUUGGUUCUAUUUUGUUGGUUUCUAGGAUCACCGUAAUGAUUAAUAGGGAUAGUUGGGGGCAUUAGUAUUCAAUUGUCAGAGGUGAAAUUCCUGGAUUUAUUGAAGACUAACUACUGCGAAAGCAUUUGCCAAGGAUGUUUUCAUUAAUCAAGACCGAAAGUUAGGGGAUCGAAGACGAUCAGAUACCGUCGUAGUCUUAACCAUAAACUAUGCCGACUAGGAAUCAGACGAUGUUAAUUUUUUAAUGACUCGUUUGGCACCUUACG
rnacentral:rRNA from 1 species